rnacentral:rRNA from 1 species
UUUCCGUAGGUGAACCUGCGGAAGGAUCAUUACCGAGUGAGGGCCCUCUGGGUCCAACCUCCCACCCGUGUCUAUCGUACCUUGUUGCUUCGGCGGGCCCGCCGUUUCGACGGCCGCCGGGGAGGCCUUGCGCCCCCGGGCCCGCGCCCGCCGAAGACCCCAACAUGAACGCUGUUCUGAAAGUAUGCAGUCUGAGUUGAUUAUCGUAAUCAGUUAAAACUUUCAACAACGGAUCUCUUGGUUCCGGCAUCGAUGAAGAACGCAGCGAAAUGCGAUAAGUAAUGUGAAUUGCAGAAUUCAGUGAAUCAUCGAGUCUUUGAACGCACAUUGCGCCCCCUGGUAUUCCGGGGGGCAUGCCUGUCCGAGCGUCAUUGCUGCCCUCAAGCACGGCUUGUGUGUUGGGCCCCCGUCCCCCUCUCCCGGGGGACGGGCCCGAAAGGCAGCGGCGGCACCGCGUCCGGUCCUCGAGCGUAUGGGGCUUUGUCACCUGCUCUGUAGGCCCGGCCGGCGCCAGCCGACACCCAACUUUAUUUUUCUAAGGUUGACCUCGGAUCAGGUAGGGAUACCCGCUGAACUUAAGCAUAUCAAUAAGCGGAGGAAAAGAAACCAACAGGGAUUGCCUC